GACGAACGCUGGCGGCGUGCUUAACACAUGCAAGUCGAACGGAAAGGCCCUGCUUUUUUGUGGUGCUCGAGUGGCGAACGGGUGAGUAACACGUGAGUAACCUGCCCUUGACUUUGGGAUAACGUCAGGAAACUUGGUCUAAUACCGGAUAGGAGCUCCUGCGGCAUGGUGGGGGUUGGAAAGUUUCGGCGGUUGGGGAUGGACUCGCGGCUUAUGAGCUUGUUGGUGGGGUAGUGGGCUACCAAGGCGGUGACCGGUAGGCGGCCUGAGUGGGGGACCGGCCACAGUGGGGGUGAGCCGCGGCCCAGGGGCCUACGGGAGGCCGCAGUGGGGAAGGGUGGACAAUGGGGGGAAGCCUGACCCAGGGGGGGCGCGUGCGGGAAGAAGGCCCUCGGGGGGGAAGCCGGUUUUGGGAGGAACAAAACGGUGUCCGCUAAGACCGGGCGCUAAUGACGGUACCGGCAGAAGAAGCACCGGCUAACUACGUG
rnacentral:rRNA from 1 species